rnacentral:rRNA from 1 species
GGUGAACGCUGGCGGCGUGCUUAAGACAUGCAAGUCGAACGGCAGUCUUCGGACUGUAGUGGCGCACGGGUGAGUAACGCGUAACUGACCUACCCCAAAGUCGCGGAUAACGAUUCGAAAGAAUCGCUAAUACGUGAUGUGCUGUCAGAUUGUGUCCUGCCAGUAAAGAUUGAUUGCUUUGGGAUGGGGUUGCGUUCCAUCAGCUAGUUGGUGGGGUAAAGGCCCACCAAGGCGACGACGGAUAGCCGGCCUGAGAGGGUGGCCGGCCACAGGGGCACUGAGACACGGGUCCCACUGCUACGGGAGGCAGCAGUUAGGAAUCUUCCACAAUGGGCGAAAGCCUGAUGGAGCGACGCCGCGUGAGGGAUGAAGGUCUUCGGAUCGUAAACCGCUGAAUCAGGGACGAAAGACACUUCGGUGGGAUGACGGUACCUGAGUAAUAGCACCGGCUAACUCCGUGCCAGCCGCCGCCGUAAGAC